CCGUGGGGAUCUCGCGAUCCCUACCGAGAUAGAACCCUUGUCUUUGCAGUACCCUCCGUUUCCUCGGCAGGUCCGCCUGCCAACGGGGACAACCAAAAACUCUUGUUUGUAACAGCAGUAACCGUCUAAAAACAUAAUUAAAUUUA
rnacentral:misc_RNA from 1 species